GAUUAAGUUAUUAAGGGCGCACGGUGGAUGCCUUGGCACUAGAAGCCGAUGAAGGACGUUACUAACGACGAUAUGCUUUGGGGAGCUGUAAGUAAGCUUUGAUCCAGAGAUUUCCGAAUGGGGAAACCCAGCAUGAGUUAUGUCAUGUUAUCGAUAUGUGAAUACAUAGCAUAUCAGAAGGCACACCCGGAGAACUGAAACAUCUUAGUACCCGGAGGAAGAGAAAGAAAAUUCGAUUCCCUUAGUAGCGGCGAGCGAAACGGGAAGAGCCCAAACCAACAAGCUUGCUUGUUGGGGUUGUAGGACACUCUAUACGGAGUUACAAAGGACGACAUUAGACGAAUCAUCUGGAAAGAUGAAUCAAAGAAGGUAAUAAUCCUGUAGUCGAAAAUGUUGUCUCUCUUGAGUGGAUCCUGAGUACGACGGAGCACGUGAAAUUCCGUCGGAAUCUGGGAGGACCAUCUCCUAAGGCUAAAUACUCUCUAGUGACCGAUAGUGAACCAGUACCGUGAGGGAAAGGUGAAAAGCACCCCGGAAGGGGAGUGAAAUAGAACCUGAAACCGUGUGCUUACAAGUAGUCAGAGCCCGUUAAUGGGUGAUGGCGUGCCUUUUGUAGAAUGAACCGGCGAGUUACGAUUUGAUGCAAGGUUAAGCAGUAAAUGUGGAGCCGUAGCGAAAGCGAGUCUGAAUAGGGCGUUUAGUAUUUGGUCGUAGACCCGAAACCAGGUGAUCUACCCUUGGUCAGGUUGAAGUUCAGGUAACACUGAAUGGAGGACCGAACCGACUUACGUUGAAAAGUGAGCGGAUGAACUGAGGGUAGCGGAGAAAUUCCAAUCGAACCUGGAGAUAGCUGGUUCUCUCCGAAAUAGCUUUAGGGCUAGCCUCAAGUGAUGAUUAUUGGAGGUAGAGCACUGUUUGGACGAGGGGCCCCUCUCGGGUUACCGAAUUCAGACAAACUCCGAAUGCCAAUUAAUUUAACUUGGGAGUCAGAACAUGGGUGAUAAGGUCCGUGUUCGAAAGGGAAACAGCCCAGACCACCAGCUAAGGUCCCAAAAUAUAUGUUAAGUGGAAAAGGAUGUGGCGUUGCCCAGACAACUAGGAUGUUGGCUUAGAAGCAGCCAUCAUUUAAAGAGUGCGUAAUAGCUCACUAGUCGAGUGACACUGCGCCGAAAAUGUACCGGGGCUAAACAUAUUACCGAAGCUGUGGAUUGUCCUUUGGACAAUGGUAGGAGAGCGUUCUAAGGGCGUUGAAGCAUGAUCGUAAGGACAUGUGGAGCGCUUAGAAGUGAGAAUGCCGGUGUGAGUAGCGAAAGACGGGUGAGAAUCCCGUCCACCGAUUGACUAAGGUUUCCAGAGGAAGGCUCGUCCGCUCUGGGUUAGUCGGGUCCUAAGCUGAGGCCGACAGGCGUAGGCGAUGGAUAACAGGUUGAUAUUCCUGUACCNCCUAUAAUCNGUUUNNNNGCUNNGGGGGACGCAGUAGAAUAGGCGAAGCGUGCGAUUGGAUUGCACGUCUAAGCAGUAAGGCUGAGUAUUAGGCAAAUCCGGUACUCGUUAAGGCUGAGCUGUGAUGGGGAGAAGACAUUGUGUCUUCGAGUCGUUGAUUUCACACUGCCGAGAAAAGCCUCUAGAUAGAAAAUAGGUGCCCGUACCGCAAACCGACACAGGUAGUCAAGAUGAGAAUUCUAAGGUGAGCGAGCGAACUCUCGUUAAGGAACUCGGCAAAAUGACCCCGUAACUUCGGGAGAAGGGGUGCUCUUUAGGGUUAACGCCCAGAAGAGCCGCAGUGAAUAGGCCCAAGCGACUGUUUAUCAAAAACACAGGUCUCUGCUAAACCGUAAGGUGAUGUAUAGGGGCUGACGCCUGCCCGGUGCUGGAAGGUUAAGAGGAGUGGUUAGCUUCUGCGAAGCUACGAAUCGAAGCCCCAGUAAACGGCGGCCGUAACUAUAACGGUCCUAAGGUAGCGAAAUUCCUUGUCGGGUAAGUUCCGACCCGCACGAAAGGCGUAACGAUUUGGGCACUGUCUCAACGAGAGACUCGGUGAAAUCAUAGUACCUGUGAAGAUGCAGGUUACCCGCGACAGGACGGAAAGACCCCGUGGAGCUUUACUGUAGCCUGAUAUUGAAAUUCGGCACAGCUUGUACAGGAUAGGUAGGAGCCUUUGAAACGUGAGCGCUAGCUUACGUGGAGGCGCUGGUGGGAUACUACCCUAGCUGUGUUGGCUUUCUAACCCGCACCACUUAUCGUGGUGGGAGACAGUGUCAGGCGGGCAGUUUGACUGGGGCGGUCGCCUCCUAAAAGGUAACGGAGGCGCUCAAAGGUUCCCUCAGAAUGGUUGGAAAUCAUUCAUAGAGUGUAAAGGCAUAAGGGAGCUUGACUGCGAGACCUACAAGUCGAGCAGGGUCGAAAGACGGACUUAGUGAUCCGGUGGUUCCGCAUGGAAGGGCCAUCGCUCAACGGAUAAAAGCUACCCCGGGGAUAACAGGCUUAUCUCCCCCAAGAGUUCACAUCGACGGGGAGGUUUGGCACCUCGAUGUCGGCUCAUCGCAUCCUGGGGCUGUAGUCGGUCCCAAGGGUUGGGCUGUUCGCCCAUUAAAGCGGUACGCGAGCUGGGUUCAGAACGUCGUGAGACAGUUCGGUCCCUAUCCGUCGUGGGCGUAGGAAAUUUGAGAGGAGCUGUCCUUAGUACGAGAGGACCGGGAUGGACAUACCUCUGGUGUACCAGUUGUCGUGCCAACGGCAUAGCUGGGUAGCUAUGUGUGGACGGGAUAAGUGCUGAAAGCAUCUAAGCAUGAAGCCCCCCUCAAGAUGAGAUUUCCCAACUUCGGUUAUAAGAUCCCUCAAAGAUGAUGAGGUUAAUAGGUUCGAGGUGGAAGCAUGGUGACAUGUGGAGCUGACGAAUACUAAUCGAUCGAAGACUUAAUCAA
rnacentral:rRNA from 1 species